rnacentral:rRNA from 1 species
GUGGGGAAUAUUGCGCAAUGGGGGAAACCCUGACGCAGCGACGCCGUGUGAGGGAAGAAGGCUUUCGGGUCGUAAACCUCUGUCAGAAAGGAAGAACCUCCCAAGUCCGAAGGGCUUGGGACUGACGGUACUUUCAAAGGAAGCACCGGCUAACUCCGUGCCAGCAGCCGCGGUAAUACGGAGGGUGCAAGCGUUAAUCGGAAUCACUGGGCGUAAAGCGCGCGUAGGCCGCUUUGUAAGUCGGACGUGAAAGCCCUCGGCUCAACCGUGGAACUGCGUUUGAUACUGCGAGGCUUGAGUCCUGGAGAGGGUGGCGGAAUUCCAGGAGUAGGAGUGAAAUCCGUAGAUAUCCGGAGGAACACCGGUGGCGAAGGCGGCCACCUGGACAGGUACUGACGCUGAGGCGCGGAAGCUAGGGGAGCGAACGGGAUUAGAAACCCGGGUAGUCC